rnacentral:rRNA from 1 species
UUAAAUUGAAGAGUUUGAUCAUGGCUCAGAUUGAACGCUGGCGGCAGGCCUAACACAUGCAAGUCGACCGGUAACAGGCAGAAGCUUGCUUCUUUGCUGCCGAGUGGCGGACGGGUGAGUAAUGUCUGGGACACUGCCUGAUGGAGGGGGAUA